GCGAAUGUAGUUCAAUGGUAGAACGCUAGCCUUCCAAGCUCGAUACGCGGGUUCGAUUCCCGUCAUUCGCU
rnacentral:tRNA from 6 species